rnacentral:rRNA from 1 species
UUUUAUGGAGAGUUUGAUCCUGGCUCAGGAUGAACGCUGGCGGCGUGCCUAAUACAUGCAAGUCGAGCGAACGGACGAGAAGCUUGCUUCUCUGAUGUUAGCGGCGGACGGGUGAGUAACACGUGGAUAACCUACCUAUAAGACUGGGAUAACUUCGGGAAACCGGAGCUAAUACCGGAUAAUAUUUUGAACCGCAUGGUUCAAAAGUGAAAGACGGUC